rnacentral:rRNA from 1 species
ACGGCCUUCGGGUUGUAAACCUCUUUUAGUAGGGAAGAAGCGUAACAGUGACGGUACCUGCAGAAAAAGCACCGGCUAACUACGUGCCAGCAGCCGCGGUAAUACGUAGGGUGCAAGCGUUGUCCGGAAUUAUUGGGCGUAAAGAGCUCGUAGGCGGUUUGUCGCGUCUGCUGUGAAAACCCGAGGCUCAACCUCGGGCCUGCAGUGGGUACGGGCAGACUAGAGUGCGGUAGGGGAGAUUGGAAUUCCUGGUGUAGCGGUGGAAUGCGCAGAUAUCAGGAGGAACACCAAUGGCGAAGGCAGAUCUCUGGGCCGUAACUGACGCUGAGGAGCGAAAGCAUGGGGAGCGAACAGGAUUAGAUACCCUGGUAGUCCAUGCCGUAAACGUUGGGAACUGGAUGUGGGGACCAUUCCACGGUCUCCGUGUCGCAGCUAACGCAUUAAGUUCCCCGCCUGGGGAGUACGGCCGCAAGGCUAAAACUCAAAGGAAUUGACGGAAUCGAAUU